GAUCAUGGCUAAGGACGAACGCUGGCGGCACGCUUAACACAUGCAAGUCGAACGAGAGAAGAGAAGCUUGCUUUUCUGAUCUAGUGGCGGACGGGUGAGUAACACGUGAGCAGUCUGCCUUUCAGAGGGGGAUACCGAUUGGAAACGAUCGUUAAUACCGCAUAAUAUAAUUGAACCGCAUGAUUUGAUUAUCAAAGAUUUAUCGCUGAAAGAUGAGCUCGCGU
rnacentral:rRNA from 1 species